UCAUGGGUUGAGACUUGAGAGUUGAGACGAGAGAGAGAGAGUGUUUGAAAGAAACAAAAAAGAAAGAAAGGAAGAUCAAGAAGAAAUUCCCAAUAGGUCCCAUUCUCCCCCCUCUUCUGGCUUAAGCCACCCUCUCACCAAAAUCCACUAUUCUCUCUCUUUCUCUCUCUUCCCAUUCCCUUUUCUGCUUCGAAGCUACACCGCCUCAAUCCCCAACCCCCUCCCCUCUUCUCCACCCUUCAAUUCUUCUCCUAACAGAAUCUCUCUCUUUUCCUUUCAAAUGCUCCGCCAUCCCUCUCCGCCGCCACCUCCGCCGCUCUAACCCUCCCGUCGUCCUUCCCCGCCGGCAACCGUCGAUCCUCCGCGGCACCUUCCGCGGGAUUUUUCUAGGGUUUUUUCGAAUUGUUUCCCCCGAACCACGCCGUUUUCCUCUUCGAUUCCUUCUCGAUAUUAUUGUGGUGCCGCAUCGACGCCGUCGUCGUCGUCAUGGCUCCCGGGCGUCGACGCGGAGCGAACAAGGCGAAGGCGAACGGACACUUGCGGUUAGGCGAUCUCGUCCUCGCUAAGGUCAAGGGCUUCCCUGCUUGGCCUGCCAAGAUAAGCAGGCCUGAAGAUUGGCAGAAGCCCCCUGAUCCAAAGAAAUAUUUUGUGCAAUUUUUCGGUACUAAAGAAAUAGCUUUUGUUGCCCCUGCAGAUAUUCAGGCUUUUACCAGUGAGUCUAAAAAUAAGUUGUCUGCACGGGGUCAAGGCAAGACUAAGUACUUUACUCAAGCUGUGAAGGAAAUCUGCGCAGCAUUUGAUGAAAUACAGAGACCGAAGCCUAGUGGUUUGACAGAUGAUACUGAUAACUCUAAUAUUGGGUCAGAGGCUCCUUCCGUUGAUGGAGGAGUGGGUAACAUAGCAGACACUAAUGAUGCUGCGGUAUCAAACAGUGAGAAAGAUAGCAAUGCUUGCUCUACUUUUGAGAACUCUGCUCAAUUAAUUGGAGAACAUGAAAGGCAAGAUGAGAAGCUUUCUGUACCUAACCUUGAAAGUUCUUCACCUGUGGUAAAAAAUAAGUUAUCUGUUAGUCCAGUUAUAAAGAAUGCUAACAAAUCUAAUGCUGCAAAGAAUGCUGGUGUUUUUAGACAAGAAGAAGGUGUGCAUAGUCUUUUGACAAAUGGAAGCAAGCCUAGAAAGCUUGGUACCGACUCAAAAAGAAAUGAUGCUGCAGAUGAUCGAAAUCAAAAUGGUGGAUCUUUUGCUGGGUCAUUUUCAAUGAAAGGAGACUCUACUGAGGGUGCUAAUCUUUCCAGAUCUGGAGAGACAUUGAAAAGUGGGAAAAAAAGGAAAAAUUCAUUUUCUGUUAAACCAGAUUCUCUUGAUAUUCUUCAUUCAGACUCAAAGGAUCAUACUGGAACAAAAAAUAAGACCUUAUUAAAAGUUAAAAGAAGCCUGGAUUCUGAGGAGGCUGAUUGCAAAGAUUCUGGGAAGCAAAAGAAGAUCCAAAUACAUGCAAAGAAUACCAAGAAGCUUAAGCGCAUGGAUGCCAAAGAUGAUAGAAGCACUUCUCCUGGUUCUACUGUUGAAGAAAAAGUUUCUAAAAAGCCAGAGUUGAAAAGGUCCAUAUCAAAUUUGAAAACGGAAAAAAGCAUGCCAUCAAGGAGUCACAUUGGUGUAGGUUCUGAUGAUUCUGGCUCUGAGGCACUACCAGGGACCAAAGUUCACAGCCAUGUACGACAAGUUAUCUCUGAUUCUGGUAGCAUUGCUUCUGAUGAGAAGAUAGAGAAGAGUUCUCUUAGACUGAAGGCUGAUGCAAAUAAUGUCAUCGUAAAACCAGGACCGCGGAAACGCAGAGCUGUUCGCCUUUGUGACGAUGACGAUGAGGAUGAACCUAAAACUCCUAUUCAUGGAGGAGCUGUAAAAAGUAUUAAGUCACCAUCUUUUGUUCCGGAGGUCUUGAAGAGUAACAAGGCACAACCAGAGAAAUCUGAUCAUGCUCAGCCAGUUCACAAAAAUUUUAGUGAAGUUGAGCAUAUCCCUUCGAAAGAAGCAUCUUCUCUGUUAAAUAAUGAUAUCUCAUCUUCUAAGCAGCCUGGGAAAGAGAAAGCUGAUGAAAUUAUUCCUGUACAUAAUAGUCCUGAAAAAUUCGAUCCAAAGCAAAUUCCUUCAAAGGUGGCAAAAUUGCGCACUGGGUCUCCAGUAAAAUCACCUCAGUCUGUUCCUGCAGCAAAGUCAACUGCCGAGCAACAUAAAGCUUCCAAACCUUCACUUAAAGUUUCCAGUAGUGCUACUGAAAAGAAGGCUGCUCAUGGAUUUUCAAAGUCUUCUAAUAACAUAAGUACUUCUCAGAAUCAGGCUGCAUCUCAUAAAAAGAAGCUUGGAUCUUCAGUAGAAAUUUCUAAAACUACUCCAAAAAGAUUGCAGCAGGAUGCUGAAGUUCCUGCGGCAACAGGUGGUUUAAAGGAGGCUGAUGCUUUUCAUCGUUUGGAUGUAAGCAUGGAAGAAAAAAGCAGUUUAUAUAUUGGUUCUGGGACUCCAGAAGCUGCUAAAAGUAUGAAGCAUCUGAUUGCGGUUGCUCAGGCGAAAAGAAGACAAGCUCAUUCUCAAAGUUUUCCUCUUAGCAUUCACAAUAUUCAAGAAGGGACUCCUAGCCCAUCCACAGUUCAGCCAUUUCUGCCUGCCUCAGGCCAUGUUACACAGGCAGAUGUGCAGGCAGUUUAUGAGAAUCCAACAUUGGCAUCUCCAUCAACCAAUGAUCAUCUCUCGGCUUCUCAAAAUCAACCCGAUACUGAGGAAAUCGAGGACGUAAGAGUUGGUUCAGUACAGAGGGGUCCAGGGGGCUCGCUUAGUGGAGGCACUGAGGCUGCUGUUGCUCGUGAUGCUUUUGAAGGAAUGAUUGAAACAUUGUCAAGAACAAAGGACAGUAUUGGGCGUGCAACUCGCCUUGCCAUUGACUGUGCUAAGUAUGGCAUUGCUAAUGAGGUUGUUGAACUUCUCAUCAGAAAGCUGGAAAGUGAAACUAGUUUUCACCGCAAGGUGGAUUUGUUCUUUCUUGUGGACUCCAUCACCCAGUGCUCGCAUAAUCAGAAAGGCAUUGCUGGAGCCUCCUACAUCCCUAUAGUUCAAGCAGCAUUGCCACGCCUUCUUGGUGCUGCUGCUCCCCCUGGGGCUAAUGCGCGUGAGAAUCGUCGUCAGUGUCUGAAGGUUCUAAGGCUGUGGCUUGAGAGGAAAAUUUUGCCUGAAUCAGUUCUUCGCCGUCACAUGGAUGAGAUUGGAGUUUCAAAUGAUGAUAUAACAGUUAGCCUUUCCCUCAGGCGCCCAUCUAGAGCUGAGCGGUCAGUGGAUGACCCAAUCAGAGAAAUGGAAGGCAUGCUUGUUGAUGAAUAUGGCAGUAAUGCUACAUUUCAGCUGCCUGGCUUUUUAUCUUGCCAACCAUUUGAUGACGAUGAGGAAGAUGAUGAUUUACCGGUUAAUUCAAGUAAGGAUACAUAUGAUGCAUCUCCAGCACAUCUAACGCCUACCCUUGGGGAAUCGGAAACUUCUACUGUUACCCCAAAUGACAAGCGCCAUUGUAUCUUGGAGGAUGUGGAUGGCGAACUAGAAAUGGAAGAUGUUUCAGGCCACCUGAAGGACGAAAGGACUGAAUUUCAUAAUAGUUCUGAUGAAGUAGAUUUGCAACCCCAAGGAUCAGAUAGGAACUUGGAUCUUACUUCAAACAUUUCAGCAGAGAUACCCACUUCUGUGGAGGGUUCUCCUCCAUUACCACCUGGUUCACCUCCUCCACCCCCACCUUUGCCUUCUUCACCUCCACCACCACCUCCUCCAUCAUCUCCAUCUCCACCCCCACCUCCACCACCUCCAAUGUUGCAACCCCCACCUCCUCCUUUACCACCCUCGUGCCCAACACUGCCAUUGGUUCCACAAUCAUCUGGAGUUGCUCGCCCUUCGCACCUCUCCCAGUCAAUAAGGCCACCUCAGCCAUCACAUCAGUCGUCUCCGCAGUUAGGUUAUCAUCAGAAUGUGCCUCAUAACUAUAGUGCCACAACAAGUGGUAAUCAGUUUGUUCAAAUGGCUGGGAAUGCCUUUCCGGGAGGUCACGGUAAUGCAGUUGCGAAGAAUGAAAUAUUCCCACAAGCAGCUGCUUUUGCACCAACAGCAACCUGCAGCACCCAGGAACCACCUUCUGGUUUUAACCCUUCAAGGCAAUUAGAAUAUGGACAAAAUGAUAUGUAUGCAAAUGUGCAAGUUCCCCAAGCCAACCAUCAAUUUCAACAGAGUAAUCUACCGUUUGCUCAAAGACCGGGACAUCCUGCCCCACCCCAAAGUUCGUCAAGUCAGUACUCUUUUCCAAACCCUACAGGUCAGCAGCAUCCUCCACAUUCAUUCCAUCCACCUUUCCCUUUGCCAUCCAUUCCAGAUGGCCGGAGGCAAUUUGUUGCUGAUGACCAAUGGAGAAUGUCGUCAAGUGAAUUUAAAACGAACAAUCAACAUGGUGUUUGGAGAGGGCAAAAUCCUUCAUGCUCUGGUCCACCGUUUGGGCAAGAAGGUCAUUUCCGGCCACCAGUUGAAAGACCACCAGUAAGCAACAUAGGCUUCCAGCAUGCAAUGCCAAAUAACAUACCUGCUGCUCCACCAACAUCAGGACAUGGUAUUCCCCAGAUGUUGCCUUGUAGGCCUGACAUGCCUGCUCUGAAUUGUUGGAGACCGACUUGAAAUUUUACUGGAGUAUUCUUAACAAUAUCAUUGGUCUUGCUGGUGGAUCACAUUCAAGGUUGCAUAUUGUGCCUCCAAAGUUAGGUUCACCUCAAGAAAUUUUUGAAAACUUGUGGAGGCUUUUUGGCAGGGUUGUGUAUAUUGUAAUUUUCCUGACAAUGUAUCCCAGAAAGAUUUGCUUCCAUUUUAGGCCCAUAUUCUGACUUGGUAUUGGCAAAACAAAGAUGGUUAUUGCUAUGUCAUGUUUUGAAUGUGGUCACUGAACAAAAAAUAAGGUCAACUUCAUUGCUUGCAAUGACUCCUUCUCAUUGAGGUAAAUAUUUGUCAUGGAAUUUCGUAGCAGACAACACGUUAGUUUAUUAGUUAUGUAUUUUUAGUUGUUUACUGACUUCCUUAAGUUCCUUUCUAGCAGUAGCAUCUAUAGUUGUAAAGACGGUUCUCAUGAUGUUUUGAGAAUCUCUAGUAAAACAUCUCGAGCUAACAUAGUAUUGUACAUUAAAAUGUCUAGGUUUCUUUUAUAGAUACUGUUUAAUGCAUACAUUUCGCCAGGCAGAAGAGCAUAGUUUCUUUAAUUCUUGCAUAAGUGGAAAUAGGAAAGUUUUGUUAGGAGCUGCAUAGAUGUUUGGUCUUUGGCUGAUUCUACCUUUUGCCAAUUCACUGUAUUCAAAAAUGAUCUUUACAAGGACUGAAACUAAUUACUUUGUCGUCACAAGUCUAUUUCUGACAUGUUGAACUUGCUCACUGGGAUGUAGUGUAUUGAGUUAUCUACAUAAGUAAAUAUGUCCUGUCUGUAAAAGUGAUAAACUUUUCUACAUCUUCAUAUUGUGAAAUCAUGUGAUCCCAUCCUGAUUGACAUCAAUUUAGUUACCGUAUAUAGCAGCAUUUACUGGUGAAUUUCUGCUGGAUUGCAUCCAGUCAGCAUUGUUUUCCCCCAAACCUAAUUUCUGAUACUAGAUCAAGAUACCUGAAUGCAUUAUUGGAUUCCAUUUAAGCUACCCUAAUGCUUAUUAAAAUAAGCAGACUCUUGUCUAGAGAUUAUGCAUAGUAUCAGUGUUGCAGACAUCUAAAUUGAAUGCGGCUUUGUAGCUGGUCAUAGUUGUUAUCAUGACUAAUUAUAACUUGUGAUCGUGACCGAGUGUAUUCAUUUUUUUAUCUCUUAUUUUACUAUCACUGGUUCAUGGG